rnacentral:tRNA from 1 species
AAAAUAGAAUAAAGUUAAGUUCAUUUCAUUUACACUGAAAGGGUCAAUCUGUAGUUGUUUUA